CUACAUGGGGCAAAUAUAAGCUGGUUGUAGUGAGGAGAAACAGCUGUUACAUUAUUUCUAAAUAUAAAAGACAUGGAGAAAGGUAAGAGAACAUUUCAUGAUCGGACGGUCAUUGAAAAGGAAAAAUCCACGAUGAAAUAUUCUCCGUAUUUUCUUUUUAUUAUCGCGUUCCCUGUUUUUAUUCUUCUACUUAUUUUAGUCAAUGGACUUCAGACAUUUCGGGGGAUGCGUCUGCCGAAUUAUAUUCUACAAUAUAUGCUGACAGGUAAACCAUUUCCAGAAGAUAAAGAUUUUCCUGUCGUGGGCCAUUGCUUGGAUGAAACAUAUUGCCCAGAAGCUGAGAAAAAGUAUCCUUCAGAUUUUAACAUCGAAAGUUUCUGCUUACGUAUAUUAAUGUAUACAGAUUGUGCCAGGAAGAUUGAAGAUCUGCAGUGCAUUAAGGAGCUGAAUGCUUAUUACAAGUUCUUUGACUUCUGUCAUUGUAAGAGAUUUAUGUUUCUUUGCAAAGUAUGAGCAAAGCACCAUUUACUGUUGACGAUUGCCUCCGUCAACGACCGAUUAACUAGUUCACUAAUCCAGUCUCUGUAACCUUGAUACGCCGGUAACGAUGCCUUCAGCUUCUAGUAACCGUAACUGGGACCCUGUCUACGAAGCCUAUCCAAUUCGACCGUAUAAUAAAUAAGUGGAAAUUUUACCCUUCAUAUUCCUGUCAAUUCCGAAGUUGUGAAUAAGAAGUGUAAAAAAUCAAUACAUGUAUACAUAAAUAAAAAUAUAAUAAAUA